CUACUUUGUCCAGCUCCUUCUGGCAGAUCCCAAGGCGUUCCAAAGGCCAAUUGAGAGACAUAGUCUCUCCAACGUGACCUGGGUGUUCGCUGAGGCCUCCUACCAGUCAGAUGGGCCCUGAACACGUCCCCAGGGAGGAGGAUCUGGGGGGCGUGAGUCUGCACUGCACUGUAUAUCAGGUUCCAUCUUUGAACAAGAUCCCAAGGACUCCACUAUCAUAUCAGGGACAUCUGUUUUGACGAUGCUGUGCUGGGAGUUGAAGUACACCAUAGAAAGAGGCUGACGCUCGGUGGGGACACAACAAGACGAUGCCGCCGUGUUGAUGCCGUUGACUUUCAGCUGGCUCAGGACGGUGGCGUGGAAGGAGGAGGCGAUGCCGGGUGACCCAGACAGAUGUUGGGGGCACUGCCCCAUGCAGUAGUUCAUGUGGUAGCCCUCCGGCGCAAUGAUCCAGUCAUGCCAUUGUAUGUCCUUAAAUUUGAUAUAGAAGUCUCGCUUGCAGCACACGGUGAUGUCAUCGCCGCACCUCAAAGAACGUUUCCUCAAUCACCUCCAGGCGGAGCUGCUUCUGGCCUCCAUCCAGGAAGGCCUGCAGGGUGCGACUGAUGGGGAAGGUGUGCCAGUUGCUCUCCUGGACCUCCAGCAUCUUCUCGAUCACCAAGGUGCGGUUUGAGUCAGCAGUCAGGAAGACGCGAGCCGGGACUUGGAAAGGGUGCUUGGAGGAACGGACAUAGAUCCAAAGAGAUGACUGCAGCACUUGGACACUCUGGCCGGGUUCUUGCAGGAACUGGAAGUGCUCUGCCUGUCCAUCUGUGUAUGAUACCAUCUCGCCUUCAAUCUGAUCCAUCUAUCCAUCCAUCUCGGACUCCUUCUCCCCGUCUGUCCAUUCGCCCAACAUACCCUCAGGUUCAUUUGUCCAUCUGUCUAUGAUGGCUUGUUCUUGUCUAUUUACGAUACCUUCAACCUGCCAACCUUGAACAAAUGUUAUGCCAAAGAUGCUCGUGCUAUGACGCUAUACCAUAAUUAAGCCUUGAGCUCUUAGAGUCCGGGUUGCCGCAGCUCAAGAUUAUGAUUUUUUUGUUGGUGUGCAUUUCACGCCUGGCAACUUUGCAUAGGUCAGUGAAGCUUACACUGGUGCUUUGACACAGGUUUCAAGAAACUUAACUCUAACUCAAAUUUGAGGAAAUUCACCAAAAUGUAUAUUUAAGGGUAAAAACACAUGCCAAGUAAGAAAAAUGCAUACGUCCGCAAGAGAACAUUCAUCAGAUCAAAAAAGUUGCGUUCACACUGUACUGAAAUAAUAAAUAGGUGCAUCCAGACGGGAACGGAUACUUACAUAUUCUUUAAAAUGAUGUAAUACAUAAGGCACACCUACGGUACAUGUGGCUCCGUGAAGAGAUACGCAGACAGAACCAUGUGACACGCCAUACUAUAGAAGACGAAUGAACACAUGUGCAUAAGUGCGUUAUCUUCCACUUUCCUAUUUCUAUAUGCCAGCGAUGCUUACUGAGUAAAUGUUUUAUCACUCCUAAGAACAUAAACAGUACACACUACAACCCGAGCAUCCGUUUAUAGACAUCUGAAAACGGCAAACAAACGCCAAUAAUUAAAAAGUAUAUUUUUAACACACGGCUGGCUUCUCUGGACCUUAAGUCCAAUACUGUAUAUGCCUCACACACUAAUUUAACACAUUUCAAGUAGAUUUAUUACAAAAUCUUGUCCAGUAUAAGUUUUACUUUCGCUUUGAGUAAUCUACUAUGGUGCGUUCGAGGACAGAUGAAAAAGUGUGACAUCUCAAUACUUGGCGAAAAAACAUAGACAUACAAUUGAGUGCAGAAAUCUGCAACUAUAUGAGGUUGCAGAUAUCUAUUGUAUUCUUUUGUAUUCUUAUAUAUGUUAUAGUCUGUUAUAGUGGGUGAGAUAUACUAUUAUGAUCCUACACUUUAACCUAAUUUUUUCCUCCACCCCAAACUUCAAGGCAAUCAAAGCAGACGGAAAAGAAGGCUAUAUGAUUCAUCAUCUUGUAUCAUGAUCAUUUACCACACUUACUUAUAUCGGCAAAGCUGACUAUUUCAUAGCCUUGCUGUCUGGAUGGCACACUGUUGUUCAUUUCCAGGGUACCAUCUUGCCUGACUCGCCCUGAGUGCAGUUUGCGCAGCGCAGUGAGCAGCGCCACCCGCGGCACCGUCGGAGACAUCCUGGGUCUCUCCUUCAGGGAAGAACGAGGGCCGCAGGACGCGCAGCCUGGUGGGCUCCCUCUCACCCAGAGAACCUCCAGGAGCAACAAAAACAGAAAUGAAGAGGACUGUGCCAUCUCAGUUGAAUAAAAGAAGUCUUUGCGUCUCUGCGGAGUUUGGCUCACUUCGGGAAAGUUCUGCAGUGAUGUUGCCAGCGUCCUGCUGGUGAAGAUAUCUGGUGGGGUAAUCCACCAAAAGUGGUGACACGUUGGAGGGACGCACCAAUGAGCGCACCGUGUGUGUGGAAUGAACUUUACUGGCAACGCAUCUGCAGACACGCACACUCGCAUGGCGGGUGACUUGACUCACUCACAAUGACCCAAAAAACAUGGGUAAGGGCGGACAAAUACAUGGGACACACGAAGGUCCUAUAUGGGGAUUGGAACCAUCACUUCAUGUCCAUCAGAGUUGGAUUUGGGUGUCCUUUCACCCAGUUACAACAUGCUGGACAAGUUCAAGUGUUCAAGUGCGCGUCCAUGCACCAAACACGUCAUGUAGGGGAACUACAACCACCUUUCUACAGAUUCACUCAUUAAUAAAUGAAUGCACUCACCCAUAUUAAAGUAUAUUAUGUGUAAUAUACCUCAUGAAAACAUGGAUGCAUAAGACAAAUGUGCUUGGCAUACGUUAUUUUUGCAUGAAUAUUAUGGUAUAAUAAGGGUUAACCCUAAUUAAGACUGCGGUAGGCGACUGCCGACGUGUGGACAUUUUAUGCAACUGCAGCAACCCUUUAUUUGAUCAGUGGGCCCAUUUAAUAAUGGAUUUGCAUGUUUGCAUUAAUAUGACUGUACAAUAAUAUAGAGAAAAUACACAAUAAGACCAAAUACAAAUGAUAGGUCAUCACUAUAAUAAACGGCUAUCCGACCUUUUUCCACUGACUCCCAUAAACUGAAAAAUGAAAUGAUAUUUUGUAAAGCAACGUUCAUUCAUUCAUUCAUUUUCUACCACUUUUUCCUCACAAGGGUCGCGGGGGUGCUGGAGCCUAUCCCAGCUGUCUUGGGGCGAGAGGCGGGGUACACCCUGGACUGGUCGUCAGCCAAUCACAGGGCACAUAUAGACAAACAACC